AACCUGCGGAAGGAUCAUAGUAAUCGUCU
rnacentral:rRNA from 2 species